GCUCCUGUAGCUCACUCGGCAGAGCGCGUCCUUGGUAAGGACGAGGUAACCGGUUCGAUUCCGGUCAGGAGCUCCA
rnacentral:tRNA from 1 species